rnacentral:rRNA from 1 species
GACAGAGGGUGCAACCGUUGCUCGGAAUCACUGGGCGUAAAGGGCGUGUAGGCGGGAAGGAAAGUCAGAUGUGAAAUCCCUGGGCUCAACCCAGGAACUGCAUUUGAUACUGGUAGUCUCGAGUCCGGAAGAGGUGAGUGGAAUUCCGAGUGUAGAGGUGAAAUUCGUAGAUAUUCGGAGGAACACCAGUGGCGAAGGCGGCUCACUGGUCCGGUACUGACGCUGAGGUGCGAAAGCGUGGGGAGCAAACAGG